rnacentral:rRNA from 1 species
AGACCCGAAACCCGGUGAUCUAGCCAUGGGCAGGUUGAAGGUUGGGUAACACUAACUGGAGGACCGAACCGACUAAUGUUGAAAAAUUAGCGGAUGACCUGUGGCUGGGGGUGAAAGGCCAAUCAAACCGGGAGAUAGCUGGUUCUCCCCGAAAGCUAUUUAGGUAGCGCCUCGUGAAUUCAUCUCCGGGGGUAGAGCACUGUUUCGGCUAGGGGGCCAUCCCGGCUUACCAACCCGAUGCAAACUGCGAAUACCGGAGAAUGUUAUCACGGGAGACACACGGCGGGUGCUAACGUCCGUCGUGAAGAGGGAAACAACCCAGACCGCCAGCUAAGGUCCCAAAGUCAUGGUUAAGUGGGAAACGAUGUGGGAAGGCCCAGACAGCCAGGAUGUUGGCUUAGAAGCAGCCAUCAUUUAAAGAAAGCGUAAUAGCUCACUGGUCGAGUCGGCCUGCGCGGAAGAUGUAACGGGGCUAAACCAUGCACCGAAGCUGCGGCAGCGACGCUGAUGCGUUGUUGGGUAGGGGAGCGUUCUGUAAGCCUGCGAAGGUGGCCUGUGAGGGUUGCUGGAGGUAUCAGAAGUGCGAAUGCUGACAUAAGUAACGAUAAAGCGGGUGAAAAGCCCGCUCGCCGGAAGACCAAGGGUUCCUGUCCAACGUUAAUCGGGGCAGGGUGAGUCGACCCCUAAGGCGAGGCCGAAAGGCGUAGUCGAUGGGAAACGGGUUAAUAUUCCCGUACUUGGUGUUACUGCGAAGGGGGGACGGAGAAGGCUAUGUUGGCCGGGCGACGGUUGUCCCGGUUUAAGCGUGUAGGUGUGUGUUCCAGGUAAAUCCGGUUCACUUUAACACUGAGGCGUGACGACGAGGCACUACGGUGCUGAAGCAACAAAUGCCCUGCUUCCAGGAAAAGCCUCUAAGCAUCAGGUAACAUCAAAUCGUACCCCAAACCGACACAGGUGGUCAGGUAGAGAAUACCAAGGCGCUUGAGAGAACUCGGGUGAAGGAACUAGGCAAAAUGGUGCCGUAACUUCGGGAGAAGGCACGCUGACACGUAGGUGAAGUGAUUUACUCAUGGAGCUGAAGUCAGUCGAAGAUACCAGCUGGCUGCAACUGUUUAUUAAAAACACAGCACUGUGCAAACACGAAAGUGGACGUAUACGGUGUGACGCCUGCCCGGUGCCGGAAGGUUAAUUGAUGGGGUCAGCGCAAGCGAAGCUCCUGAUCGAAGCCCCGGUAAACGGCGGCCGUAACUAUAACGGUCCUAAGGUAGCGAAAUUCCUUGUCGGGUAAGUUCCGACCUGCACGAAUGGCGUAAUGAUGGCCAGGCUGUCUCCACCCGAGACUCAGUGAAAUUGAACUCGCUGUGAAGAUGCAGUGUACCCGCGGCAAGACGGAAAGACCCCGUGAACCUUUACUAUAGCUUGACACUGAACAUUGAGCCUUGAUGUGUAGGAUAGGUGGGAGGCUUUGAAGUGUGGACGCCAGUCUGCAUGGAGCCGACCUUGAAAUACCACCCUUUAAUGUUUGAUGUUCUAACGUGGACCCGUGAUCCGGGUUGCGGACAGUGUCUGGUGGGUAGUUUGACUGGGGCGGUCUCCUCCUAAAGAGUAACGGAGGAGCACGAAGGUUGGCUAAUCCUGGUCGGACAUCAGGAGGUUAGUGCAAUGGCAUAAGCCAGCUUGACUGCGAGCGUGACGGCGCGAGCAGGUGCGAAAGCAGGUCAUAGUGAUCCGGUGGUUCUGAAUGGAAGGGCCAUCGCUCAACGGAUAAAAGGUACUCCGGGGAUAACAGGCUGAUACCGCCCAAGAGUUCAUAUCGACGGCGGUGUUUGGCACCUCGAUGUCGGCUCAUCACAUCCUGGGGCUGAAGUAGGUCCCAAGGGUAUGGCUGUUCGCCAUUUAAAGUGGUACGCGAGCUGGGUUUAGAACGUCGUGAGACAGUUCGGUCCCUAUCUGCCGUGGGCGCUGGAGAACUGAGGGGGGCUGCUCCUAGUACGAGAGGACCGGAGUGGACGCAUCACUGGUGUUCGGGUUGUCAUGCCAAUGGCACUGCCCGGUAGCUAAAUGCGGAAGAGAUAAGUGCUGAAAGCAUCUAAGCACGAAACUUGCCCCGAG